rnacentral:piRNA from 1 species
UAGUUUAAGACACAAUCGAUCUAUGAGCCUA